rnacentral:rRNA from 1 species
UACGAAGGGGGCUAGCGUUGCUCGGAUUGACUGGGCGUAAAGGGCGCGUAGGCGGUUCGUACAGUCAGACGUGAAAUUCCUGGGCUCAACCUGGGGGCUGCGUUUGAUACGUGCGGACUUGAGUGCGGAAGAGGGUCGUGGAAUUCCCAGUGUAGAGGUGAAAUUCGUAGAUAUUGGGAAGAACACCGGUGGCGAAGGCGGCGACCUGGUCCGAUACUGACGCUGAGGCGCGAAAGCGUGGGGAGUAAACAGG